rnacentral:rRNA from 1 species
ACAAGCGGAGGAGCAUGUGGUUUAAUUCGAUGAUACGCGAGGAACCUUACCUGGACUCAAAUGUUGGGCGACAGGUCCAGAAAUGGAUUCUCCCUUCGGGGCGCCCAGCAAGGUGCUGCAUGGUUGUCGUCAGCUCGUGCCGUGAGGUGUCAGGUUAAGUCCUAUAACGAGCGCAACCCCUACGUCCAGUUGCCAGCGGGUCAAGCCGGGGACUCUGGAGGGACUGCCGGCGCAAGCCGAGAGGAAGGUGGGGAUGACGUCAAAUCAGCACGGCCCUUACGUCCAGGGCGACACACGUGCUACAAUGGCCGGUACAGAGGGCAGCCACCCCGCGAGGGGGAGCGAAUCUCGAAAGCCGGCCUCAGUUCGGAUCGGAGUCUGCAACCCGACUCCGUGAAGUUGGAUUCGCUAGUAAUCGCGCAUCAGCCAUGGCGCGGUGAAUACGUUCCCGGGCCUUGUACACACCGCCCGUCAAGCCAUGAAAGUCCGGGGUACCUGAAGUCCGUGACCGAGAGGAGCGGCCUAGGGUAAAACGGGUGAUUGGGGCUAAGUCGUAACAAGGUAGCCGUA